rnacentral:rRNA from 1 species
UGGUGGGUUGCCUUGUCAGGUUGAUUCCGGUAACGAACGAGACCUCAACCUGCUAAAUAGUCACGGUUGCUUCUCGCAGCCGGCCGACUUCUUAGAGGGACUACUGGCGAUUAGCCAGUGGAAGUGUGAGGCGAUAACA